UCAGCUCUUACAAAGAGUGCAUGUGUUAGAUUAAGUAAAAGUUCCUUCUCAGUUAGUUCUCGAUAUACCUCGUUAAACCUGCGUAAACUUUCUCUCGAUAGACCAUUCAUGCACUUGUAAUAGCCAGAAAUGUUUAAUGUAAAUUUUUAAUAGAGGUCACUAUGUCUGGUAAAAUGACUGGUACAGUAAAAUGGUUCAACGAGACUAAAGGUUUUGGUUUUAUUUCUCAAGACAACGGCGGCAAAGAUGUAUUCGUACACUUCCGUGCUAUCGUUUCUGAAGGCUUCAAAACUCUUGCUGAAGGUCAGAAAGUAAGCUUCAACGUUGAAGAAGGUCAAAAAGGCCCACAAGCUUCUAACGUUACAGUUAUCUAAGCUUAUUUUACUUGUGGUUUGACCACGAGAAGAAUAUUAAACGGGUGCUCGAAAGAGCACCCGUUUUUC
rnacentral:sRNA from 1 species